GACGAACGCUGGCGGCGUGCUUAACACAUGCAAGUCGAACGGAAAGGCCCUGCUUUUGUGGGUUGCUCGAGUGGCGAACGGGUGAGUAACACGUGAGUAACCUGCCCUUGACUUUGGGAUAACUUCAGGAAACUGGGGCUAAUACCGGAUAGGAGCUCCUGCUGCAUGGUGGGGGUUGGAAAGUUUCGGCGGUUGGGGAUGGACUCGCGGCUUAUCAGCUUGUUGGUGGGGUAGUGGCUUACCAAGGCUUUGACGGGUAGCCGGCCUGAGAGGAUGACCGGCCACAUUGGGACUGAGAUACGGCCCAGACUCCUACGGGAGGCAGCAGUGGGGAAUAUUGCACAAUGGGCGGAAGCCUGAUGCAGCAACGCCGCGUGCGGGAUGACGGCCUUCGGGUUGUAAACCGCUUUCGCCUGUGACGAAGCGUGAGUGACGGUAAUGGGUAAAGAAGCACCGGCUAACUACGUG
rnacentral:rRNA from 1 species